AGAGAGAGAUGGACUACAAACUGGGACAGGUAGGAUGGAGAGAGAGAUGGACUACAAACUGGGACAGGUAGGAUGGAGAGAGAGAUGGACUACAAACUGGGACAGGUAGGAUGGAGAGAGAGCUGGACUACAAACUGGGACAGGUAGGAUGGAAGGAGAGAGAGAUGGGGAACAUGGACUACAAACUGGGACAGGUAGGAUGGAAGGAGAGAGAGAUGGGCAACAUGGACUACAAACUGGGACAGGUAGGAUGGAGGGAUGGAAGGAGAGAGAGAUGGACUACAAACUGGGACAGGUAGGAUGGAAGGAGAGAGAGAUGGGCAACAUGGACUACAAACUGGGACAGGUAGGAUGGAGGGAUGGAAGGAGAGAGAGAUGGACUACAAACUGGGACAGGUAGGAUGGAGGGAUGGAAGGAGAGAGGGGGCGGAGGAAAGGGAAGACAGACCAAAUGGCAUAGUUGUGUCCUUCUCUUGCAGAUAUGUUCAGUCUCUCUCUCUCUCUCUCUAAUUCCUCUCCUUUAUUGUCUCUCUCUCUCUAAUUCCUCUCCUUUAUUGUCUCUCUCUCUAAUUCCUCUCCUUUAUUGUCUCUCUCUCUAAUUCCUCUCCUUUAUUGUCUCUCUCUCUCUCUAAUUCCUCUCCUUUAUU
ensembl:lncRNA